AAAUUGAAGAGUUUGAUCAUGGCUCAGAUUGAACGCUGGCGGCAGGCCUAACACAUGCAAGUCGAGCGGAAACGAGUUAUCUGAACCUUCGGGGAAGGAUAACGGCGUCGAGCGGCGGACGGGUGAGUAAUGCCUAGGAAAUUGCCCUGAUGUGGGGGAUAACCAUUGGAAACGAUGGCUAAUACCGCAUGAUGCCUACGGGCCAAAGAGGGGGACCUUCGGGC
rnacentral:rRNA from 1 species